CCGACUUUAGCUCAGUUGGAAGAGCAUCAGACUGUAACGUCCUUUCGCAUUGCCCAUCUGAGGGUCGUCUGUUCGAACCAGACAAGUCGGA